GUGCUUGCUUCGGCAGCACUUAUACUAAAAUUGGAACGAUACAGAGAAGAUUAGCAUGGCCCCUGCACAAGGAUGACACGCAAAUUCGUGAAGCAUUCCAUAUUUUU
rnacentral:snRNA from 1 species